AUGAUAAUAAUUAUAAUAACUUCGCUUCGGCUCCUCGCUCCCGGCCGGCCCCACCGGGGGCACUGCACCCCCCCCCCCGCCCCCCCGGGCUCCUCCCCGGCCGCUACCGCGGGGGCGGAGCCGCCGCAACUUCGGCAACUCCGCAGGGGCCCCCCGCGAACGGGGCCGCCCCGGCUCCCUCCCGGCCCCGGCCCCGCCGCCGGGAGGGGGCCGGGGCGGCUGCGGGGGGGCCCGUGCGGGGCGGCGGCGGGGCCGGCCAAUGGGGCGAGCUCGGGUUCGGGAGGUGAAAGUUCACCGCCGGGGCAGGCUGCCGCGGGGGCGCGGCGCUGCCGAUGGGUGGUCGUAAAAUAUAUUUAUUUGCUACUUGCAACUCUUUUUUUCCCCCCCCCCCACCUCCCGCUUCCCACUCUCCCUUACCCCCACCACCGCCCUCAGCCCUAUCUCACGCACACCUCGCCCGCCCCGUUGCCGCUAAACCCCGGUCGCUUUUAUUUCUCGCUACUUUGCGAGCGCAACGGUUGCGGGGGGGCGCCGGCCGCGCCCCCCGAGGGGCUGGGGGCUGCGGAGCGGCGUGGCCGCAGGCAGCCGGCCCCCGCGGCCCUGGGACGGUGCGGGGCGGGGGGGACCCGUGCGGGGCGCUCCGCCGCGCACCCCGCCGCCUGCAAACGAAAUCGCCCCCCUCGGGCUCCGCUUGCCGGUGGGAUGAACCGGCUCGGCAUCGGGGCUCCGCGGAGGCGCAAGUUGCGCGGCCCCAAAGCCGACGCCCCCUUCCCGGAGGCGGCGGGCGGGCGCCUUGCUCUCCCCGUGGGGAGCCGGGCGGGUUUCCCCGCGGAACCGGCCGCGAGGGGCGUCCCAAAGCUGCGGCCGGAGGAAAGGGGCGGCGAACACAGCGCUUGGCGGAGGGGAACCCGCGGGCGGCGGCGCGGCCCCGCAGCCGGGCACCGACGGCUCCGUCGGGCGCCCCCGCGCCGCGGCCGCGGAGGGCCGGAGGGGAAAGGAGGUGCACGGCGGCACAGGGGCUGCCCCGGGUCGGGCUGCCCCGGGUCGGGAUGCCCUAUUGUGCCCUGCUCUGCCCGGCCCUGCCUCGCUUUGCCCUGCCCUGCCCGGUCCCGGGCCGCCGCCGUCGAGCCGGGCUCCCUCCUCUCCAGCGAGCCGCGGUAG
rnacentral:lncRNA from 1 species